CGAGCGAACGGAUGAGAAGCUUGCUUCUCUGAUGUUAGCGGCGGACGGGUGAGUAACACGUGGAUAACCUACCUAUAAGACUGGGAUAACUUCGGGAAACCGGAGCUAAUACCGGAUAAUAUUUUGAACCGCAUGGUUCAAAAGUGAAAGACGGUCUUGCUGUCACUUAUAGAUGGAUCCGCGCUGCAUUAGCUAGUUGGUAAGGUAACGGCUUACCAAGGCAACGAUGCAUAGCCGACCUGAGAGGGUGAUCGGCCACACUGGAACUGAGACACGGUCCAGACUCCUACGGGAGGCAGCAGUAGGGAAUCUUCCGCAAUGGGCGAAAGCCUGACGGAGCAACGCCGCGUGAGUGAUGAAGGUCUUCGGAUCGUAAAACUCUGUUAUUAGGGAAGAACAUAUGUGUAAGUAACUGUGCACAUCUUGACGGUACCUAAUCAGAAAGCCACGGCUAACUACGUGCCAGCAGCCGCGGUAAUACGUAGGUGGCAAGCGUUAUCCGGAAUUAUUGGGCGUAAAGCGCGCGUAGGCGGUUUUUUAAGUCUGAUGUGAAAGCCCACGGCUCAACCGUGGAGGGUCAUUGGAAACUGGAAAACUUGAGUGCAGAAGAGGAAAGUGGAAUUCCAUGUGUAGCGGUGAAAUGCGCAGAGAUAUGGAGGAACACCAGUGGCGAAGGCGACUUUCUGGUCUGUAACUGACGCUGAUGUGCGAAAGCGUGGGGAUCAAACAGGAUU
rnacentral:rRNA from 1 species